rnacentral:rRNA from 1 species
UGGGGAAUAUUGCACAAUGGGCGCAAGCCUGAUGCAGCCAUGCCGCGUGUGUGAAGAAGGCCUUCGGGUUGUAAAGCACUUUCAGCGAGGAGGAAGGUGGUGAACUUAAUACGUUCAUCAAUUGACGUUACUCGCAGAAGAAGCACCGGCUAACUCCGUGCCAGCAGCCGCGGUAAUACGGAGGGUGCAAGCGUUAAUCGGAAUUACUGGGCGUAAAGCGCACGCAGGCGGUUUGUUAAGUCAGAUGUGAAAUCCCCGGGCUCAACCUGGGAACUGCAUUUGAAACUGGCAAGCUAGAGUCUCGUAGAGGGGGGUAGAAUUCCAGGUGUAGCGGUGAAAUGCGUAGAGAUCUGGAGGAAUACCGGUGGCGAAGGCGGCCCCCUGGACGAAGACUGACGCUCAGGUGCGAAAGCGUGGGGAGCAAACAGAUUAGAUACCCUGGUAGUCCACGCUGUAAAACGAUGUCGAUUUUGGAGGUUGUGCCCCUUGAGGCGUGGNUUCCGGAGCUAACGNGUUAAAUCGA